rnacentral:rRNA from 1 species
CGGACGGGUGAGUAACGCGUGGGUAACCUGCCUUAUACAGGGGGAUAACAGUCAGAAAUGGCUGCUAAUACCGCAUAAGCGCACAGAGCUGCAUGGCUCAGUGUGAAAAACUCCGGUGGUAUAAGAUGGACCCGCGUUGGAUUAGCUAGUUGGUAAGGUAACGGCUUACCAAGGCGACGAUCAGUAGCCGACCUGAGAGGGUGAUCGGCCACAUUGGAACUGAGACACGGUCCAAACUCCUACGGGAGGCAGCAUG